GAUGAACGCUAGCGGCAGGCCUAAUACAUGCAAGCCGAACGGCAAGUUUGAUAGCAAUAUUGGACCUAGAGUGGCGCAAGGGUGCGUAACACGUAUGCAACCUGCCCGCGACAGGAGGAUAGCUCCCCGAAAGGGGAAUUAACCCUCCAUAACACCAUGAGAAGGCAUCUGAUUAUGGUUAAACCGCAAGGGGUCGCGGAUGGGCAUGCGGUUGAUUAGCUAGUUGGCGGGGUAAAGGCCCACCAAGGCGGUGAUCAAUAGGGGUUCUGAGAGGAAGGUCCCCCACACUGGCACUGGGAUACGGGCCAGACUCCUACGGGAGGCAGCAGUAGGGAAUAUUGGACAAUGGUUGCAAGACUGAUCCAGCCAUGCCGCGUGCAGGAAGAAGGCCUUCUGGGUCGUAAACUGCUUUUUCCUGUGGAUAAAAUACCCGUGCGCGGGGAAUUGAAGGUAACAGGGGAAUAAGCCACGGCUAACUACGU
rnacentral:rRNA from 1 species